rnacentral:rRNA from 1 species
UACGAAGGGGGCUAGCGUUGCUCGGAAUCACUGGGCGUAAAGGGUGCGUAGGCGGGUCUUUAAGUCAGGGGUGAAAUCCUGGAGCUCAACUCCAGAACUGCCUUUGAUACUGAAGAUCUUGAGUUCGGGAGAGGUGAGUGGAACUGCGAGUGUAGAGGUGAAAUUCGUAGAUAUUCGCAAGAACACCAGUGGCGAAGGCGCUCACUGGCCCGAUAACUGACGCUGAGGCACGAAAGCGUGGGGAGCAAACAGG